AAUCGCUGCGUAGAGUGCUUGCAA
rnacentral:siRNA from 1 species